rnacentral:rRNA from 1 species
CCUACGGGAGGCAGCAGUAGGGAAUAUUGCUCAAUGAGGGAAACCCUGAAGCAGCAACGCCGCGUGGACGAUGAAGGUUUUCGGAUUGUAAACUCCUUUUGUUAGAGAAGAUAAUGACGGUAUCUAACGAAUAAGCACCGGCUAACUCCGUGCCAGCAGCCGCGGUAAUACGGAGGGUGCAAGCGUUACUCGGAAACACUGGGCGUAAAGAGCGCGUAGGCGGGAUAGCAAGUCAGAUGUGAAAUCCUAUGGCUUAACCAUAGAACUGCAUUUGAAACUGUUAUUCUAGAGUAUGGUAGAGGUAAGUGGAAUUCUUGGUGUAGGGGUAAAAUGCGUAGAGAUCAAGAGGAAUACUCAUUGCGAAGGCGACCUGCUAGAACAUAACUGACGCUGAUGCGCGAAAGCGUGGGGAGCAAACAGGAUUAGAUACCCUUGUAGUC